rnacentral:rRNA from 1 species
AGCCAACCAGCUAGCCCACAUCAGUAAAAACAACAACCCCCUAUAUAUAACCCCUAAUACACCUCCUCCUCUAAAUAAACAAACCAUUUUACCCCCUCAGUAUGGGCGACAGAAAAGGAACAGUUGGAGCAAUAGAGAAAGUACCGCAAGGGAACGCUGAAAGAGAAAUGAAAUAACCCAGUAUAAGCCUUAAAAAGCAGAGAUUUAACCUCGUACCUUUUGCAUCAUGAUUUAGCCAGUAAUACCCAAGCAAAGAGAACUUUAGUUUAGGACCCCGAAACUACGUGAGCUACUCCAAGACAGCCUAUCAAUAGGGCGAACCCGUCUCUGUGGCAAAAGAGUGGGAAGAGCUUUGAGUAGAGGUGACAGACCUACCGAACCUAGUUAUAGCUGGUUGCCUGAGAAUUGGAUAGGAGUUCAGCCUCCAGGCUUCUCUCUUCACUACGGUUCUUUCACCCCUACCGACACACAAAGAAGCCUAGAGAGUUAAUCAAAGGGGGUACAGCCCCUUUGAAACAAGACACAACUUUCCCAGGAGGGUAAAGAUCAUAAUUACUAAAGGUAAUAUGCCCUGGUGGGCCUAAAAGCAGCCACCCCCAUAGAAAGCGUUAAAGCUCAAGCAUUAAACCUCCCCAAAUAUUUAGAUAACCAAAUCCCAGCCCCCUAACAUUAUCAGGCCGUCUCAUGCAAACAUGAGAGUGCACAUGCUAAUAUGAGUAAUAAGAGAACACCCGUCUCUCUCCUCGCACACGUGUAACUCGGAACGAACCCCCACCGAAACUUAACGGCCCCAAACGAAGAGGGUAAUGAACAACAAUAAAACAACCAGGAAACCAUCCAAUAAACAACCGUUAACCCCACACUGGUGUGCCCCCUGAGGAAAGACUAAAAGAAGAAGAAGGAACUCGGCAAACAUAACUUAAGCCUCGCCUGUUUACCAAAAACAUCGCCUCUUGCAAUGCAAAAUAUAAGAGGUCCAGCCUGCCCUGUGACUAUAUGUUUAACGGCCGCGGUAUUUUAACCGUGCGAAGGUAGCGCAAUCACUUGUCUUUUAAAUGGAGACCUGUAUGAAUGGCAUAACGAGGGCUUAACUGUCUCCUUCCUCAAGUCAAUGAAAUUGAUCUCCCCGUGCAGAAGCGGGGAUACACCCAUAAGACGAGAAGACCCUAUGGAGCUUUAGACACCAAGGCAUGUCAUGUUAAACAUCCCUAGAUAAAGGGCUAAACCAAAUGAAAUAUGCCCUUAUGUCUUUGGUUGGGGCGACCGCGGGGAAAUAAAAAACCCCCACGUGGAAUGGGAGCACUGCUUCCUACAACCAAGAGCCGCAGCUCUAAAAAACAGAAAUUCUGACCAUAAAGAUCCGGCAAUGCCGAUCAACGGACCGAGUUACCCUAGGGAUAACAGCGCAAUCCCCUUUUAGAGCCCAUAUCGACAAGGGGGUUUACGACCUCGAUGUUGGAUCAGGACAUCCUAAUGGUGCAGCCGCUAUUAAGGGUUCGUUUGUUCAACGAUUAAAGUCCUACGUGAUCUGAGUUCAGACCGGAGUAAUCCAGGUCAGUUUCUAUCUAUGUUAUGUUCUUUUCUAGUACGAAAGGACCGGGAAAGAAGAGGCCAAUACUCUAGGCACGCCUCACCCCUCCUAAUGAAAACAACUAAAAUAGGCAAAAGGGCAUAUCCCUUCACGCCAAAGAUAAUGGCAU